rnacentral:lncRNA from 1 species
CCUUAUCACCAUCACCAUGUUGGGAGCCCACCGUAGGCUUGUUUACUGUAUGUGUCUUUUCAUCCUGUGUGGCAGCUGGAGGCAGGGCAGAGGAGCCCUCACUGGCUGACUCUGGGCAUGCCUUACUGAACGACUGUGACCUUUUCACCACAGCAAGGGCAAAGGGUGAGGGGCCAGAACUGGAGUAUGGUCUUGGGGCCCCAAAUGUUUUCAAGGUCUUCAGGUUUAGUGAUGUUCCCUGACUACCAGGGAGAGCCACAGGCUUGGCAGCUACAGGAGGAGGAGAGGUCUCGGCUCGAAGAGUCAUUGGUUUGGGAAAUACAAGAGGAAGAGAGGUCUCGGCAGGCUUCUGAAUUAUAUCAUCAUCAGCUUUUGAAAUAUUGGGCAGCGGAGCAGAGUGAGUCCUUUCACUUAAGGAAGAAGGAUGCUGUUCUGGAGAAAGCUGUGGGUCCCUCUGCACCUCCUUGAUUGUUGGCUCUUUAGGGGCAGGCCCAGGGGCAGUGUGGACGCUCUUAGCAGCUGCAGAUGUCACAUAGUGGCCUGAUGCUCUCUUUUGCAUCUGCAAAAAGAAUGAACUUGGUUUGGCCUGGGGAUUUGAAGCUCGGGAUCUAAAUUUUGACUCCAAAAUAUUGUUUAUAUCUUCCAAAUUUGGCGCAAAAGGAAUGGUGCCAGUGUCUGUAGUCACUCUGGGUGCUUUGGGAGGGUUCGUCUCGGUACCAGUUGGUGAGCUCAAAGUCCUGUGCAAAUGACGCUCUGUUCCUGAGCUGGGCUUUGGUUUAAGGUCAGGCUGAGGCUGCUGUGAGCUUUUAGAAGUAGCAGGGACUUCUGUUUGCAUGGAAGUUUCUGUCAUAUUCUCAAUCGUAUGCCUCUGCCCUACAGGGAGCAUCUUUUGGUCAUCUUUCCUCCCCAUUGCUUCUGAUUCCCAGUCUUUCGCCAUUUCCAGGGAUUUCGGAGGUACUAUUUUAUAAGUAGUCAUUCCAAUUUUAGGUAUAUACUCUCUCGUGAUUUCAUUUGACGGUUUUGGCUUGGGGUUGGAGUCUUGCCUAUAAAGUGGAAAGUUCUUUAGGUAAGAAGCAGCUGGAUUCUUAUUACUUCCAUCUACAGGUGACAAAGGGACAUUGUUCCCAUAUGUACAAGCUGGCUCUUUCUCAGGGAGUCUAUCUUGUACAUAAGUUGAGGUGCCCUGACUCCUGAAUUCUCUUGAGGCAUUUACAGAAUCCUGGAGACUUGCAGAGGAGUGCUGAGCUGAUAUGCUGCCAUCCGAAGUCUGCACAGUCUCAUCAGCCCUGGGGUCAGAUGAAUUACUGACUUCGUGAUUCCCAUCAAAAGUGCCGCGGGCAGGGGUGGCCUGAAUUGCUGCAUCCUGCAUUUUCGUCUUCUCUACACCUGGUUGAUUCAAUUUUUGAUCUGGUCCUGGCGAUGCUGUUAGAUGAUUUUCCCUCGAACUUUUAACAUUGUCCAUUCUACAUGCAGGAGAGCCUGACAAUCUAUCAGUUUCCAUGUCGCUGGCUUUCUUCAGAGCUUCGCCUUCGCCUUCUAUGGUGGUUUCCAUUUUCCCCGGUCUGUUUUUCACAUAAUCUGUGCUUGUGGCACAGACCAUGAUUUCAUUUUGAACUACUG